CUGCACAUUUCUCACCGCAGUUCGUAUUGAAUCAGGGGCUAUAUGAUGCUGGAGUCUUAUCAAAACUACUGUUAAUGAAAGGAUCCAUUCCCACUGUUCGGCACCCUCUCCCAAGCAUUGAAACAGGAGCCAUUAGACCCGUUUCCCAGGCCAGUACCUCCCGGAGUAUUGGCUGCCAGACUGACCCCCUUCCUAAAAGAUCUGUUGGAACCCAACUAUCCAAGGACACUCUUAAGACUCACGUCAGAAGCAGAGCUUCUCAGACAAGUGUGGUCUGUGAGAAUGUGUGGUCUCCCCCACUUCUCACCUCAACACCCUUGAAGUCCCUUCCACCCAAAAA